UUUCUACCCUCAUAGAUUAUUCACCUUACGACGACUAAAGCUUCAAUGCCAUGAAAACACUAAUUGAAGGACGACGAGACUGUCACGAGAGAGAGGUAUUUCGAGGAAUCAUAAGGCCGCGGCGCAAUGUUGCCCGUCGGACGAAAAAUGUUGGAUGGACUCCCUGUCGCUGGCAUGCCGAACAGUGGCAGCCGCGAGGAUAUGGACAGUGUGCAGUAAGGUUCGACCCGGGGAAAGGGUUUGAAAUAAGGGCGGGAAAUUAGUUGCUCUACACUGAUAACGCUCAUUAAAUCCACCGUGAGAGACGGAGUGUAGCGGGGCGUGGUGUCAUGGGCUCGUGGCGAGGUGCGGCGGGCAGGGGGUGGAAUCAACGAAACUGCGCCUUCAAAAAGGCAGCACGCUUACCUCGAUGCUCCGGCGAGUGGAUGUUGCUUGCUCGCUUCUGCGCGGGCGUCCCGCGGAUCGACAGCCGAGGCCGAGGUGGCGAGUAGCCUCAGACUUCAAUAACGUUUUGACUCGUUCGCUGCGCCCCAUUGUCUUCAGCCCGGGCUCCGUCCUUGAGGAAAUUCGUGCUUUUCUCGUUCAGUAACAGUGCCCCACUGCGAUCCCUGAAAUGCUUUUGUGAGACUGGAUUAUCCUUUGUGCGAUUGUGCUAGCCGUGUGUUUGGUUUUUUUCAACUUUAGUUUCUUCGCUGCUUCACCAUUUAUUGUUGGCUGAGCUCCACAUCCCCUACGGCAAGACCUUCGUAUGUCCUGCCUGGGGGAGGAAAAAAAGCUGUUUUUCCACCGCUUGCACUCCAUGAUCACAAGCAUGAGCGGAAACGAAAGCAACUCUGUCCUCAGUUUCGCAGUAAAUCUGAAAACAAAGAGAGUCCAGAAGCUGAAAAAAAUAUUCAAGAAGCGGCUCAAAAGGCAGCGGCAUCAUCAUCAUCAUCCAAAGGAAGCAAAACUAAUAAGAAAAAUGCCAAAACUCAAAGACAGGUACACAUUGACAGUUACUUAUUUCCUUCCCGAAAACACUCAUAAACUCAAGCACAGAUUUUUAGUUUGAGCACACUGGUGAUGUGAAAUUAGAUUUCUGAAUAUAUUAUACCGACCUAUCUUCGAACACUUUAGUACUUAAUUUCAGCAAUUCUUACUCAGCUGGAACCAAAAACUUAACGUCAAAUGUGACUGAUUCCCAGCUCGGCACUUCGAUUUUUUUUAGAAUUGACGACGCAGAGAUGUUAUUGUGUUCAAUGAAUGCAUUCCGUUGAAGCCCCUCAAAGUGUAUUUGAUCAAAGUCUAACAUUUAUGUUGAAAAAGCAAAUGUAGUCUCGUGAAACGAAUCAAAGUUUGAAAUUUCGAGAGGACUGUUCUAGUAAGAUGUUAAGUCAUUUAACUUCAAUUUUUUCCUCUAUCUAGUUCGCCAGUUCUUCUGUCUCAAUAUUUAGUAUUAUAACAGAUUUAUCAUGCCUUUCAAUAAUGAAGUUUUGGUAUGAAAGAAUCAAACACCAUUUUAUAUUUGAAUAUUGUCUGGCAUGAAAAAGUAAGGAUAAGCAAUUUUGACCUAUUCCUUACUUUCUCGCCUUAGGAAACUUCGUCUGGGAAUUUAGAUAUGAUUUUUUUCUCGACACGCCAAAAGUAGGUAACCAACAAUAUUCCCUCAUGCACUCAAUUCGCCGUUCCCCCACGAAAGAACGUAACUACAUUUCAAUGUUGUCUUUCCUCUCGCAAAUUGCAACCUCAACCGUAGAAUCUUGGGCAUUUCUAGCUGAAAAUUUUACUGAUUUCUCAUGUGAAAAAUUGGAAAAAUUUUGAACAGAAAUUCCAUAGGUCUGUACAUUAUUGUAAAAAAUUGAAUUGCUCCAGUCAAUUUUGGUAUGGAGUUACGUUCCUCAGUCGGAGAAAUGAUGGAUUGAGCUUUUUAGUAAAAUGUUCUUCAUCCCUCUCUCUCCCACCUUCCACUUUGUCGUCCGACUUCACUCCUCUCCUUCCAAAAUUUUUCGUCCAUGUUGAACUCAGGUUUGGCAUGUUAUUGCAAGGCCUAUCUCUACAUCAUGUAGAUGAAGUUUCCAGCUUUGCAUGUUGGGACAGCACGGUCUUUGUACCAUUUGCUAUUUAACUUCCUUUGUAUCUCCAUCUGCCUCAGUGAGCAGCACGAUCUCCGUCGUGAAGGAUAGAAGUUGAAGUGUUUUCAUAAUUGAUCACCAAGCCGCUUGUCGUGAAAAGUUUGCGAGCCCCAUGAGUGAAGCUACACAAUUAUUUCCUCGUGAGACUCACGGUUUGCUGUUUUCCCCAGAGAAACUUUCAAGAGUUAUAAGGGCACUUGUAGUAUUUUUUACGAAUCUUUCCGAAAAUAAAUGUACGUAAGUUUAGGUUCGACGGGCAGUCUGCUCACAUUGUCCUCAUAACUCUUCGCAACUGAAGAAUUGCGACGGUCGGCUGGACUUUCAGAGAAAACGAGCGCAUAUUUUUCUUUUAAUUUUAAAAUUUAUCCAUUACGUAUCGCUACAAAUUCAAUGAACAAUUGCAGCGUUGCAAAAAAACCUUUGGUAAAAAAGCGUUUGGUAUUCUUUCCUUGGAAUCAGAAAAUGACAACGAUUCAACGCGUUUGGACGAUUCAAUCAGUGUUCGAAACUCACAGGCGCCAGUGCGCCAAAUGCGCCUAAAAAGUUCGCCAUGGCGCCUAAAAAAUGAAGGUUCUGCGCCAAAGUGGUCCCUAAAUAUUGCCACCCCCCCCCCCCCCCCCCCAAUAUCCUUAAUUUUUUUGUUCGGUGAAUUUUUGGAAUCCCCCCUCCCCAGUAAUAGCUACAUGUUCUUCAACUAAAACACCCUGCAUCUAACUUUUCACUAAAUGCGCCGUGAUAUAUGGGCAAAAAGUCAAUUUGGCCCCUAAAAUAUCUUGUGUGGCCCCUAAAAAUCGAGCUUAAUGCGCCACAUGGCACCUUAGACUCAAAGGUGAGUUUCGAACACUGGAUUCAAUGGUGCCAUCUUUACCCACAGGAUUGAGAAUCACACAAAGACUUGUAGCGAGAAGGUGGAUGGUUGGUAUUUAAAAUCACUAUAGAACAAACAAGUGGAUGUAUUUUAAUCGAAAGGAACUAUCUAAAUUGUGACAUGGGCCCUGCUGUCAUGCAUGUAUUCUUAUGGGCCUCACGGCUUCGAUCACAAUUAACAUACCUCCUUUAGAUUUGAAUAUACCCAAUGGGCCUGUGCGAACUUCAGCUAGAGCAAUAAGAAGAGUUAUUCAUUUUAAAUAUGGCUCAAAAAUCAUGCUCAUAUCCGGAAAGUCUGACAUACACCCCUAACUUCACACUCUUUGUAAGAAAUAUGUGUUUUUUUUAAAAGCUUCCCGCUUCAAAAACGAUACUACGGCACAAGUGAAAAAUUCGGAGUCGUUUCAUCCAACCCUCGUGCAUUAGGAUGCUGCACAAGUGAAAUUCGGUGCCGGAGUCUAUGAAGCGCCCGAAAAGUGAUAUGAAUGCGAGAGGGAAUUAGCACCAUAAAGGCGUAUGAAGAGUAGAUUCCGCUCCGCAAUAGUGUUAGUUGCUCCGUAAGAAGAGUAGAGUCCGCUCGGCGUUCAUAUCAUUCGGGGUAUAUAGACUGCAGCUUAGAACUUCACUCCAAAAUUUUGAACAGUGUGCGUGAUCCCAAAAUGAGAUAGAUCACCAGUAGAGUAGUUCUUGCCGCCUCACCCCGACCAUGGAUUUAUGGUUUCCAAAACCUGAACUUCAUGCAGUUACCCCUUUGCGGUCGCAAGUUCCGAUCAACAAGUUCUGCUUUCGGAAGUUGAUACUUUUGCCAGAGCGCCCGAAGUUAAACGGUGAUCGGCUGUAGGUGGAUUCAAUUCCAGGGCCAUUUCCUCACGCUGGAAAAAAACCACAUUGGAUCUAGAGUCCAGACUCUUAAAAACAUCGACAAGAAAAAGUACUCUUGAUUCAAUCAGAAUAUAGCUUAAAUCAAGAACCAAGCCUCUUAAUUUAAGCGGAUUUCGUUUUGAUUCAAGCAAAAAUCCGAUUGAAUCAAGAGUAUUUUUUCUUUUCAAUGUUUU
rnacentral:lncRNA from 1 species